rnacentral:rRNA from 1 species
GACGUAGGACGCAAGCGUUAUCCGGAGUUACUGGGCGUAAAGGGCGGGCAGGCGGAGGGUCAAGUGGGCUGUGAAAGCUCCCGGCUUAACCGGGAGAGGCCAGUCCAAACUGACGCUCUGGAGGGCAGCAGAGGUGCGUGGAAUUCCGGGUGGAGUGGUGAAAUGCGUAGAGAUCCGGAGGAACACCAGAGGCGAAGGCGGCGCACUGGGCUGCCCCUGACGCUGAACCGCGACAGCCAGGGGAGCGAACGGG